CGUACCUGUAAAAAACAAUAUAUUAUUACCUAUGGGAAGUAAGAAUAUUUUUAUACAUAUAUUAUACUGCUUAUAUUUAAUUCUUUAGUUUGAGUAACUAACAAAAAUUAACUUCUAGUUUAGUAAUAGGCAUAUAAAGUAAAAUAAGACAAAUGAUUAAUAAUAUCAAUUGAAAAUUUUGCUGUUUUAUGUUGGUAUCCCUGUUGUUACAAGAUUGAUCAUAACUAAGUACUUUUCUACAUUAAUAAGUAUUCAAAAUUAUAUAAGUUUAAAAAUUGUUAUAAUUAGGUAUUAAUUACUGUAUGUUGUGACACAGUCAAAAAAUAAAACAUCUUUGUGACUCAACAUUUAUUUUUGUAACCUAAGGUUCCAAUGCUUUAACUCAUGGUUACUUAGUAAAACCUCUUCGAAAUAGAAUACUUGAUUCUGAACUUUGACUUUAUGUAUUUUCACUAAAUAUACACUAUAGAAAAGUCAAAUCAAGUUGGUGUGUAAAACUGAGUACUACAGAGUGUAGUUUUCUGUUUUAAUUUAUUUAAACAUAAGAAUAUCAUUAUUUAAUGCCAGUGUUUAAUAUAUUUAAAAUAUAUACUAAUAUAUAUUUACUUAAAGCUGUUUUAUGUAAAUUAUUUAAAGCGGUGCGAUAUGAAUCAAUCUAAUCAAUAAGGUUUUAUUUCUUGUAAGAAAAUGUAUUUUGUUUUAGAUAAUGUUUAUCAUUAUUUUCUUUUAGAAGCACUAUUUUAACAUACAUAUUUUAUUUUCAUUCAUUGUUAUACCUUCACAAAAUAUUAUACAUGUUACAUUUACAAAAGUUUAAUCUAACGCAAUUUAUGCUGAGUAGGUACUUCACUACAAAAAUUAAUGUAAUUAUAACAUAAUAAAUAAUUCAAUAUACAGUCUUUGUUAAGUUACAGGGAAGGUUGAAACAUUUUUAGUAAUGGUCUAGUUUAUUUUUUCAUAUGGCUUAUAGUCUGUGAGUAGGCCUAGUUCGGAUGUCUAUUUGGGCACCCGUAAGUUUCUGCCAUACCUGAUUGGAGGAUGGGAGUCACUCUCUCUAGACUAAUUACCUGCCCAGAGAGAAAAGCUGUCCGUGACCGGGAUUCGGACCAGUGACGGCACACAUUAAAACCAACGCUGUAAUUCGCUUGGCCACUCUGUUCCCCAGUGUCUAGUUGUAAUGCAAUAACACAGACAUGUAUAUAAAUAUGUGUAGGUAUUAUCAAUUUUAAGAAAAAAAAUAUUACAGGAGCUUUUACUCCUCGUUUUACUCAAAAACAUUAACAAUAAUAAACAGAAAUAUUAUCAAUUCUAUAAAAAUAAUUCAUUACUAUUAACCAUUUAUCUCAUUAAUCAUUAUACAAUAUAGGGUUUGCUACUAUUUAAAACAUGAGAUACAAGUAUUCAAUAGCGGGUAAUGGCAAUAUCUUAGUAUACCCAGGUAUUAUAAUAUUUAUUAAUUAUACAUUUGCAGGACAAAACCACUAUAAAACACAUAAUGACAACAUAAUACUUCUAUUGGAUGUGAAAACAGAUUCUGAGCGGAGACGGUCUAUUAGUGUCAUCCGAGGUGUCAUCUUACAUCACUAAUAUUACUGUAUGUCAGCAGGGUUGGGUAAGAUACUCAAAAGCAUUAUCGAGAUAUAAAAUACUUUGCUUUGAUGUAUUGCGAUACAAAAUACAAGACAAAAUUGUAUCUAAGAUACUGUUCAACCUUGUAAGUCAGGUAUGUCAAACUCAAAGUAUCAAGUGGAUAAAAUAUAUUGGAUAGUUUACUAUAAGGGCUGUACAUAAAAAUAGUCUUGUACAACAUUUUUCUAUUUUGUUCUUUACAUUUACAAAAACAGCAGGUAAAAAAAGAAAACAACUACCUACCUACAAAAAAAUGAACACCAAUACUAAAAAAUAAUUCUUUUUGGAUUAUAUAUUAGGUAUUUUGGUACUGGUUUGUUAUAGGCUCGCCGGGGCAAGUGAAAACUUUAGCACCACCAUUCAUAUAACAAUAAGUAUAUUGUAUAAAUAUAAAAUAAUGAGAUGGAAAAUACGUACCAUAACUAUAAGGUGCCUACCAUAAAUGUACAUCACAAAUAAUCAAUAAUAUAAUAAGCUGAUAUUAUACCGAUCAAACAUCACAAAUUUGUUAACAGAAGUGCCCGAUAUAAAUGCCGGAUUUCAAUUACUCCAGACUACAAAUAUAAUUGAAAUGACCAAAACAUGUGAAAAUGGCCACAAAAUGUUUUUAAAGGAUCGAGAUGGCGAUGUCAAUGAAGGGAUUAUCAUAAAAAGAAAGGUAUUAGGGUAAAUAAUUGGCUGAAAGGUUCGAGGUUGCCGAUAAAUAAUAUUGUGUAUAAAUUACAUUGAUACCUAUUAUUAACCCAUAUAUUAGACAUGAUUUUAUAAUUUUUUCUGACAGUUGGAAAGCUUAUGCUAAUUUGAAACAUGGUUUUCAACAUAAUCAAGUGAAUCAUAAAUAUGAUUUCGGGGAUCCUAACUCAAGAACCCACACGCAAAAUAUUGAAGAAUGUGGGGUUUGGCCAAAUGGGGCAACAAAAAACGUAGAGGGACAGAUAGAAAUAUUUACUCGUACUAAGCAAAAUUUAU